GUGCCAGCAGCCGCGGUACUACGUAGGCAGCAAGCGUUGUUCGGAAUUACUGGGCGUAAAGAGUGUGUAGGCGGUGUUCUAAGUCUGUUGUGAAAUCUCCCGGCUUAACUGGGAGGGUGCGGCGGAGACUGGAAUGCUAGAGUGUGGGAGAGGUAAGCGGAAUUCCUGGUGUAGCGGUGAAAUGCGUAGAUAUCAGGAGGAACACCUGUGGUGUAGACAGCUUACUGGACCACGACUGACGCUGAGACACGAAAGCGUGGGUAGCAAACAGGAUUAGAUACCCUGGUAGUCCACGCCCUAAACGAUGCAUACUUGGUGUGAGCCAUUCAUUUGGUUCGUGCCGGAGCUAACGCGUUAAGUAUGCCGCCUGGGGAGUACGGUCGCAAGGCUGAA
rnacentral:rRNA from 1 species